GACGAACGCUGGCGGCGUGCCUAAUACAUGCAAGUAGAACGCUGAAGGAGGAGCUUGCUUCUCUGGAUGAGUUGCGAACGGGUGAGUAACGCGUAGGUAACCUGCCUGGUAGCGGGGGAUAACUAUUGGAAACGAUAGCUAAUACCGCAUAAGAGUAGAUGUUGCAUGACAUUUGCUUAAAAGGUGCAAUUGCAUCACUACCAGAUGGACCUGCGUUGUAUUAGCUAGUUGGUGAGGUAACGGCUCACCAAGGCAACGAUACAUAGCCGACCUGAGAGGGUGAUCGGCCACACUGGGACUGAGACACGGCCCAGACUCCUACGGGAGGCAGCAGUAGGGAAUCUUCGGCAAUGGACGGAAGUCUGACCGAGCAACGCCGCGUGAGUGAAGAAGGGUUUCGGAUCGUAAAGCUCUGUUGUAAGAGAAGAACGAGUGUGAGAGUGGAAAGUUCACACUGUGACGGUAGCUUACCAGAAAGGGACGGCUAACUACGUG
rnacentral:rRNA from 1 species